rnacentral:rRNA from 1 species
GGGGAAUAUUGCACAAUGGGGGAAACCCUGAUGCAGCAACGCCGCGUGAAGGAAGAAGGCCUUUGGGUCGUAAACUCCUGUUCUAAGGGAAGAUAAUGACGGUACCUUAGGAGCAAGUCCCGGCUAACUACGUGCCAGCAGCCGCGGUAAUACGUAGGGGGCAAGCGUUAUCCGGAAUUAUUGGGCGUAAAGAGUACGUAGGUGGUUACCUAAGCACGAGGUAUAAGGCAAUGGCUUAACCAUUGUUCGCCUUGUGAACUGGGCUACUUGAGUGCAGGAGAGGAAAGCGGAAUUCCUAGUGUAGCGGUGAAAUGCGUAGAUAUUAGGAGGAACACCAGUGGCGAAGGCGGCUUUCUGGACUGUAACUGACACUGAGGUACGAAAGCGUGGGGAGCAAAC